UACAGAGGUCUCAAGCGUUGUUCGGAUUCAUUGGGCGUAAAGGGUGCGUAGGCGGUUGGGUAAGUCCGACGUGAAAUCUCCGAGCCUAACUCGGAAACUGCAUCGGAUACUAUUCAACUCGAGGAAUGGAGGGGAGACUGGAAUUCUCGGUGUAGCAGUGAAAUGCGUAGAUAUCGAGAGGAACACCAGUGGCGAAGGCGAGUCUCUGGACAUUUCCUGACGCUGAGGCACGAAAGCCAGGGGAGCAAACGGG
rnacentral:rRNA from 1 species